GCGGGCCGAGCGGGAGCUGCGGGCGGCGAGAGCCGCCGCCGCCGCCGGGGCCUCCGCGCUGCCCAGCUGCGCCCCCGACGCCGCGCACGGGCAAUGGCUGCAGCGGCUCUCCCUCGGCUGGAGGUACCACGACGGGAAGAUCUACUAUUUUUCCAGCGACCGCAAGCCCUGGCAGGACGCCGAGGACUUCUGCGUGUCGAAGCGAUCCCACCUGGCCUCCAUCACCAGCGCCGAGGAGCAGGAAUACCUGGCCAGGGAGGCAGGGAAGAGAUUUUACUGGAUCGGCCUCACCGACAUAGAGAAAGAAGGCGACUGGCGCUGGGUGGACGGCACCGAGUACAGGCAGAAUGUGAGCUUCUGGGCGCCAGGGCAGCCGGACAACACGGACUACGGCCUCAGGGGCAGGGAGGAGUGCGCCCAGAUACACCCGGUGGGAGCUGGCCUCUGGAACGACCACAACUGCAACGUCUCCUUCCCCUGGAUCUGCAAGAGGCGCCUGGAUGAGGCCGGGCCGUGACGGGGCGGUCGGGGCCCAGCGCCCGCUGAGCCCGGCCGUGGGGGGACGAGCGGGGCCGGGGAAGGAGCCAAAUACAGAGGC